UACGUAGGCAGCGAGCGUUGUUCGGAAUUAUUGGGCGUAAAGAGCUCGUAGGCGGUCUGUCGCGUCGGCUGUGAAAACUCGGGGCUCAACUCCGAGCUUGCAGUCGAUACGGGCAGGCUAGAGUUCGGCAGGGGAGACUGGAAUUCCUGGUGUAGCGGUGAAAUGCGCAGAUAUCAGGAGGAACACCGGUGGCGAAGGCGGGUCUCUGGGCCGAUACUGACGCUGAGGAGCGAAAGCGUGGGGAGCGAACAGG
rnacentral:rRNA from 1 species